UACGUAGGGUGCGAGCGUUGUCCGGAAUUAUUGGGUGUAAAGAGCUCGUAGGCGGUGUGUCACGUCGGCCGUGAAAACCUGCAGCUUAACUGUGGGCGUGCGGUCGAUACGGGCAUCACUGGAGUUCGGCAGGGGAGACUGGAAUUCCUGGUGUAGCGGUGAAAUGCGCAGAUAUCAGGAGGAACACCAACGGCGAAGGCAGCACUCUGGGCCGGUACUGACGCUGAGGAGCGAAAGCAUGGGGAGCGAACAGG
rnacentral:rRNA from 1 species